AGAGGAGAAUAUGAGUCGUCACCUUCGUAAGCCAAAACUCGACGAGCUAAGAAAAUUAAUUUAUGAGAGUACGGAUGAGGACGAGUUUGAGAGACGUUGGGCUGAUUUUAAGGAGAAUGGAGGCACGGGAAAUGGACAAUGGAUCGCUCUGAUGUACCGACUAAGGGAGAAGUGGGCAGCUGCCUAUACAUAUUGGAAAUACUUGUUGGGUAUGCGCAGCAACCAACGUAGUGAGUCACUGAACUCAAAGCUUCACACCCUUCUAAAGAGAAACAUGUCACUAAUGUGCUUAGUCAAACAUGUUAAGUUGUGCAUACAACGCCUGCGUAAGAAGGAUGCUCAGUUGGACGCUAAGUCUACCAAUUCGGUCCCUUUUUGUAGAAUAGACGCCGACCCAUUGGAGAAAGACGUUGCCCGUAUAUACACUGCAGUCGUGUUCAAGAAAGUCCGUGCACAGAUACAGCUAAUUGCAGGACUUGAAGACGAUAAUGAGGUGUGGGAUGAAGUGAGGGUUACUUUUAAAGGCCAGGCUUUGGAAGGUGUGGAAUGUCAUUGUCGGAAGAUGGAGUGCGAAGACAUCCCUUGCUCACAUAUUUUUGUUGUACUCAAGUUCCUUGGUUUUGACACCAUCUCUCGUUGUUGUGUCGUGGAUAGGUAG
rnacentral:lncRNA from 1 species